GCGGGUAUGGUGUAAUGGUAGCUCGUCAGCUUCCCAAGCUGAAUGCGCGGGUUCGAUUCCCGCUACCCGCUCCA
rnacentral:tRNA from 2 species